rnacentral:tRNA from 1 species
GAGGAUGUAGCUCAGUGGUAGAGUACUUGUCUAGCAUACUUGAGGCCCUGGGUUUAAUCCCCAGCACCAUAA